UCGGCUCUCCUCUGUUAGCAGGUGAAACGCUGGAUAUCUAUGGGUCUUGGGGCCUGCAGGAAAUGGCAGGCAGUGGGAGGCUAAAAAGGCAAGAAAGAUCCUAUUGCAAGAUUCAAAGAAGCUUUGGGUUUCCAGUAAAGGCGAACACGAGAGCACUGACCACCUCCUUUCCUACCCCACUACUGCCCUCUUUCUUCCCCUUCGCUACCUGCCCGUCCUCACGUCCGAUCUCCUCUGCAGUCGCCCCUAUUCCCAUCAUUGUCAGUCAAUUAUAGGCUGGAACUGAACUAGAAAAUCAGAUGGCGUGGAGCUGCAGAGGGGCUGAGGCGGGUGAGAGCAGCCGCGCUGAGAGCACUCUGAGCGGGCACACGGAGCGACUGGACGCUAUGGAUCAUGAGAGCGGCUGCCGGAAAACUGCGCGGCCGGAAAAAGCGACUCCUCGCUGGGCGCGCAUGGGAGGAUCCGGCCGGCAGGCGCGGGGAACUUUUGGAUGUGUCAGUCAA
rnacentral:lncRNA from 1 species